rnacentral:rRNA from 1 species
AGUGAACGCUGGCGGUAGGCCUAACACAUGCAAGUCGAACGGCAGCACAGUAAGAGCGUGCUCUUACGGGUGGCGAGUGGCGGGCGGGUAAGGAAUACAUCGGAAUCUACUUUUUCGUGGGGGAUAACGUGGGGAAACUGACGCUAAUACCGCAUACUACCUACGGGUGAAAUCAGGGGAGCUUCGCACCUUGCGCGAUUGAAUGAGCUGAUGUCGCAUUAGCUAGUUGGCGAGGUAACGGCCCACCAAGGCGACGAUGCGUAGCCGACCUGAGAGGAUGAGCGGCCACACUGGAACUGAGACACGGUCCAGACUCCUACGGGAGGCAGCAGUAGGGAAUCUUCCGCAAUGGGCGAAAGCCUGACGGAGCAACGCCGCGUGAGUGAUGAAGGUCUUCGGAUCGUAAAACUCUGUUAUUAGGGAAGAACAUAUGUGUAAGUAACUGUGCACAUCUUGACGGUACCUAAUCAGAAAGCCACGGCUAACUACGUG